AUCACUUCUUGGCCUUUUGGCUAAGAUCAAGUGUAGUUAUCUGUUCUUACCAGUUAAUAUCUGAUACGUCCUCUACCCGAGGAUAAUACGUUAAAUGGAUUUUGGGAGCAGAGAGAUGGAAUAGGAGCUUUCUUUGUCUGCUCCACUCAUUGACCUGGUAUUACAGUAUCUCCAGGAAUGGUACACCCCUU